AUUUGACUGCAUCACAAUGACAAAUAAAUAAACAUGAAAUGUGUUAAAUUACUAUAAAUGCUUUCAAAUAUAUGACAAGUUCGUGAAAUUAGGGUAUAUGUAACGCAAUAUUAAUUUGCGUUGUUGUUAACCUCUAUAGUACUAUUUGUGGCUCCUAGCUCGCCGUAGCUGAGUGAACAUCGACAGAUAUCCUACAUAGACUGCUGUCAAAGAUUCUAUAGUUGCUGUUGUGCAGCUGAGCUGACAGUCUCAAUGAAUGCUAUGUUUUUCUUCUUCUCUCUUGAUACACUUUUGUCAGUUAAGCACCGUUCCUUUGGAUUUUGUUGAGUAAUGUUAAACUCCGCAGACAGUAUGGAGACCAGGUACAUGUAAACAGACGUGUCAGGAAGAGCCCAGUUCCGACCUGCAUAUGGGUACUCGCGGUGAGCCCGAGGUGAAAUGGCAGAACGCGCUCCUCCUAAAUGUGCUGUUCAAGGUUGUGAAAGCGGUGACCAUACGUUUCAUACCCUUCCCAAGGAACCAAAUUGUCGACAGGCAUGGCUGAUGUUCAUAUUUAGUAAGAUUCCACAUACCUUUAACCCGAAAUUGUUAAUUUGCUCUGCUCAUUUUACUUCGGACUGUUUUGCCAACAUGAAACAGUUUCAAGCAGGCUUCGCCCAGCGUUUGGUACUGAACAGAGGAACAGUUCCAACUUUAUUGCCACCAUACCCUUUAUGGCCACCUAAACCUCAACUGGAAUCGCAAACAAGUACAGUAGGCCUACAUCAACUCCCACAUACAAGCGAUGCUUGCUGCCAAACUGAUGUCGUGUCACAGGAAACACAGUUGUCCUCAAAAACAUUGAGACCUCAGUUACGCAGCAUAGGCACACAGGCUACGGUGCCAUAUCAGAGUGUGGCGGUUGGCAGCACGACUACUGCAAUGGCGACCUUAAUUCCAUUAAGUUCAACACCAGUCAAGACUUCAUGGCCAGUAAAAAGACCCCAUCUUGAAUUGGAGUUGGAGGAAGAAGUAGAGAAUGGCUCCACCGCAGCCACCGAGCCACAAGAUUCAACCCAUGAUACGGCAUUGUCUAUUACAAAUGAGACCGAAUCAUCACGACCCUUCACACCACCAUUUAUAUCAUAUGGGGAUGCCAAGUACAUAGUUUUUGAGGACUGCCUCCUCAGCCUGUUUGAGACUUGUCCUGUGUGCACCAAGGCUUGUAAUGUCCACCCACGCAGGCGAGGGACCUUCUUAGCUGUCGACCAACUCUGCCCUCACUGUGGUUUCUUCAGACAGUGGAGGAGUCAGCCAAAGAGUAUAGAAGGACCAAACGGCGAAACUUAAUCGGAUAUUCCAUAGCAACGAAUGCCUCCAUUAGCAUCCACCAUUUUGGACUGGUGACCACACAACCUACCGGUUGAAAAGUGCCUCACAAAAUUAAAACAAAAAUAUACUCUUUCUACAUAUCCUUAAUGCCUCAACUGACAUGACUUGUGUUGAAUGAUGCAAAAUAUAAGUAUGCAUUCGUUUAUAGUUAUUUAGGCUAAUCUCACCAGAUUUGACAGAAGGUUGAUUUACCAAGCUGAGCAAGUCACUUUGACUCAGUUGUUACAUUUGAGUUUGUACAUAUGACCUAUUGUGUUUAAAUGUGAAUGAGCAGCUGGGGUUCUGGUUUUAUGCUGUUUAACAUGGGUAUGUUCAGUCCAAAAUGGUGAAAGCACUCUUCUACUUUGAGUCAGCCUGUCAUUGGCAGCACCCCUGUGGGCAACCUAGAGUUGGUCAGCUGCCAUCGAGUGGAGUUCCCUUUUUCAAGAUGAAAAAGGUAUUGUGUCCAUUUUCCAUAGCAAGAUGUGUUUGUUGAAGCAACAUAUUUUAUAUUUGUUUUACAUAUUAAGACUGAGAAUGCACACUUAUGAUGCACUCAGGAGGCAUGCCAGGACUUACCUCAAACCUGCUAUUGUCCACAUUUUGAAUGAGAGGCGGAAAGCGUUGCUUCAAGGCCUGAGCCAGAACGGUGAUGGCAUAGUGGGUGUUGAUAUUCAUGCAGACUCACCACCAGGUAUGUGCACUACUUCAUUUUUAUGAAUAAUUUGGUUAUAGUGUUCAGUCAUAACCUGGCAUGCAUUUCAGGACAUUGUGCAAAAUAUGGCACGGUUGCACCAUGUUGGACUUGCAGACAAACCAGAUCAUUGACUAACAUAUGGAGAAGGUAUGAAGUUGGGCUGUAUUAAUUUACCAGUAAACGUCACCCUCAAGUCCAAAAGCUUCUAAAGGAUCGUAACAUCAACUUUUACAUGAUUACGGAUUUCUGUGCCACUGGACUUUUGUGCCCAGAAUGACAGACCUGCCAUGGAGGAUGCUGUAGCUCAUCUGUACCCCAACAUACUGCCCUGGAGUGUUAGGAAACUCCAUCUGAAUGCGGAGCACCACACAUGAUGGUAGCCGCACAAACACUUCUACCAAGAAAGCCCCAGCACCAGCUGACCAUCCGUCUGCAGCUCAAGUACUGCGCUGCCUGCAAGGAGUUGAGACACAACUUUUCUAGUCCUUGUUUUGUUCAGUGUUUAACAGGGUCGGGCAUGCAUGCACAAUGCUGAAAAACAAUAAAGUGUUGUGUGUGUGUUAAUUUCUAUCCUGUGUGUUUUUGUAAUUUGCUGUUGCCACAACAAAAAGUGGGCUGUGCAUGACAGAUUGAUCUUACCUUUCCAUCCAUCUGAGUGACAAACCGCCAUGGUCUGCUCUGUGCACAUUUAUUGCAUUUUGCAAUAAAUAGAUUUUUAAACAUA